GAUGAACGCUGGCGGCGUGCCUAAUACAUGCAAGUCGAGCGAACAGACGAGGAGCUUGCUCCUUUGACGUUAGCGGCGGACGGGUGAGUAACACGUAGGUAACCUACCUAUAAGACUGGGAUAACUUCGGGAAACCGGAGCUAAUACCGGAUAAUAUUUCGAACCGCAUGGUUCGAUAGUGAAAGAUGGCUUUGCUAUCACUUAUAGGUGGACCUGCGCCGUAUUAGCUAGUUGGUAAGGUAACGGCUUACCAAGGCAACGAUACGUAGCCGACCUGAGAGGGUGAUCGGCCACACUGGAACUGAGCCACGGUCCAGACUCCUACGGGAGGCAGCAGUAGGGAAUCUUCCGCAAUGGGCGAAAGCCUGACGGAGCAACGCCGCGUGAGUGAUGAAGGUCUUCGGAUCGUAAAACUCUGUUAUUAGGGAAGAACAAACGUGUAAGUAACUGUGCACGUCUUGACGGUACCUAAUCAGAAAGCCACGGCUAACUACGUG
rnacentral:rRNA from 1 species